UACGGGGGGGGCAAGCGUUGUUCGGAAUUACUGGGCGUAAAGGGUUCGUAGGUGGCCCGCUAAGUCGGACGUGAAAUCCCUCGGCUCAACCGGGGAACUGCGUCCGAUACUGGUGGGCUCGAAUCCGGGAGAGGGAUGUGGAAUUCCAGGUGUAGCGGUGAAAUGCGCAGAUAUCAGGAGGAACACCGAUGGCGAAGGCAGCUCGCUGGGACGGUACUGACGCUGAGACGCGAAAGCGUGGGGAGCAAACAGG
rnacentral:rRNA from 1 species